rnacentral:rRNA from 1 species
AGGGAAUCUUCCGCAAUGGACGAAAGUCUGACGGAGCAACGCCGCGUGAACGAAGAAGGCCUUCGGGUCGUAAAGUUCUGUUGUUAGGGAAGAACAAGUGCCAGAGUAACUGCUGGUACCUUGACGGUACCUAACCAGAAAGCUACGGCUAACUACGUGCCAGCAGCCGCGGUAAUACGUAGGUGGCAAGCGUUGUCCGGAAUUAUUGGGCGUAAAGCGCGCGCAGGUGGUUCCUUAAGUCUGAUGUGAAAGCCCACGGCUCAACCGUGGAGGGUCAUUGGAAACUGGGGAACUUGAGUGCAGAAGAGGAAAGUGGAAUUCCAAGUGUAGCGGUGAAAUGCGUAGAGAUUUGGAGGAACACCAGUGGCGAAGGCGACUUUCUGGUCUGUAACUGACACUGAGGCGCGAAAGCGUGGGGAGCAAAC